UACAGAGGGUGCAAGCGUUGCUCGGAAUCAUUGGGCGUAAAGGGUAGGUAGGUGGUCUCGUUUGUCUGGGGUGAAAGCCUUGAGCUUAACUCAAGAAGUGCCUUAGAAACGGCGAGACUAGAGUCUUGGAGAGGGUCGUGGAAUUCCCGGUGUAGCGGUGAAAUGCGUAGAGAUCGGGAGGAACACCAGAGGCGAAGGCGGCGACCUGGACAAGUACUGACACUCAACUACGAAAGCGUGGGGAGCAAACAGG
rnacentral:rRNA from 1 species